AGUGAUUAAUGCCAAAGCCCCAUUGCCUGUGGAGAGGGUGAUGUUUGACUUCCUUGUACAGCUGCAGUUUGUGUGGUGAAGGUGCUCCCACAAUGUGGUUGGGGAUCUGCACUGGAACCCUUCUGUUUGCGGGACAAAUAUAUAUAAGUGACAUGGAUUAAAAUCUAAUUUGGUCAACACAUCCAUGAACCAAGCAAUGAUUCCUCAUCCAACACUCACAGGAAAUAUCUGAUGCCUUCUCAUUUGAAUGUUCACA